rfam:Echinostoma caproni strain Egypt genome assembly, scaffold: ECPE_scaffold0002564
ACCAAGGCCCUCUUCAGGGCCACUACAGAUUGAUUUUACCUUUAUU